GAGAGAGAGAGAGAGGGGAGGGAAGUGAAUUUUGUUUGGUGGUUUUCCCGGGGGGAUUUUUGAGGGUAUGGUUAGUAGGGAGGAUCUUUUCAAUGUGGGGAAGGGAAUUGUUUGACGGCUGUUUGUUUCGGUCGGAGGGUGAGUUGGUAAUUUUGUGUAUAAACGCGUUUAGUGUUGUUAAUGAACUUGUUUAGGACCAUAAUUAAUCAUUGUGCUUUAUCAGUCAGUGAGUGAUCAACUUCUUUUACAGUCUCUUUCUCUUUUCAAUGUCAUCGUCAUUUC
rnacentral:misc_RNA from 1 species